rnacentral:rRNA from 1 species
UACGAAGGGUGCAAGCGUUACUUGGAAUUACUGGGCGUAAAGCGUGCGUAGGUGGUUGUUUAAGUCUGUUGUGAGAGCCCUGGGCUCAACCUGGGAACUGCAGUGGAAACUGGACAACUAGAGUGUGGUAGAGGGUAGCGGAAUUCCCGGUGUAGCAGUGAAAUGCGUAGAGAUCGGGAGGAACAUCCAUGGCGAAGGCAGCUACCUGGACCAACACUGACACUGAGGCACGAAAGCGUGGGGAGCAAACAGG